rnacentral:tRNA from 1 species
GGGGUCUUAGCUCAGCAGGUUAGAGCAGCCAGCUCAUAACUGGUCAGGUCCAGGGUUCGAGUCCCUGAGGCCCCA